ACUUGAAGGACUCAGAUGAGUACAAGAAGUUCUGUGAAGAAGAAGAUGCAAAGCAUUGAGUGGAAAUUGUGGGUUACUUCCUCCUUUUGCUUAACUAAAUAAUGCACUUUUGCCUUGAUAUUUUAUUGAGUUGUGUUUUUCUCAUUUCUCUUUGCUACUAAUAAUAAAACUAAUAAACAGUGUUGAUGUCUAUUCUCUUAACAUUAAAAAAAUAUUUAGUUGUGUUUUAUUUUUUUUUUUAAGUGAUUUCAUUGUACUAAUAUGCCUGAAAAUUGCCCUUUUUUAAUGCACUGAAUUAUAUUGGAAAAACGGGAG
rnacentral:misc_RNA from 1 species